GGCGAACGGNNGANUAAUGCACCGGAACGUACCCAGUAAUGUCCCNAUAACACAUCGAAAGAUGUGCUAAUACCGCAUACGCCCUGAGGGGGAAAGCGGGGGAUCGUAAGACCUCGCGUUAUUGGAGCGGCCGAUGCCGGAUUAGCUAGUUGGUGGGGUAAAGGCCCACCAAGGCGACGAUCCGUAGCUGGUCUGAGAGGACGACCAGCCACACUGGGACUGAGACACGGCCCAGACUCCUACGGGAGGCAGCAGUGGGGAAUUUUGGACAAUGGGGGCAACCCUGAUCCAGCCAUGCCGCGUGAGUGAAGAAGGCCUUCGGGUUGUAAAGCUCUUUCGCAAGGAAAGAAAACCUAUCCGCUAAUACCGGGUGGGGAUGACGGUACCUUGAUAAGAAGCACCGGCUAACUACGUGCCAGCAGCCGCGGUAAUACGUAGGGUGCGAGCGUUAUUCGGAAUUACUGGGCGUAAAGCGUGCGCAGGCGGUUCGACAAGUCUGAUGUGAAAUCCCCGGGCUCAACCUGGGAACUGCGUUGGAAACUGUCGGGCUAGAGUGUAAAAGANGGGGGUAGANUUCACGUGUANCAGUGAAAUGCGUAAAGAUGUGAAGAAUACCGAUGGNCAAAGCAGCCCCUGGGCUANACUGACGCUCUGCCC
rnacentral:rRNA from 1 species